rnacentral:rRNA from 1 species
UACGUAGGGUGCAAGCGUUGUCCGGAAUUACUGGGCGUAAAGGGCGCGUAGGCGGCCACCGCAAGUCGACUGUGAAAUCUCCGGGCUUAACCCGGAAAGGUCAGCCGAUACUGCGGGGCUAGAGUGCAGAAGGGGCAACUGGAAUUCUCGGUGUAGCGGUGAAAUGCGUAGAUAUCGAGAGGAACACCUGCGGCGAAGGCGGGUUGCUGGGCUGACACUGACGCUGAUGCGCGAAAGCUAGGGGAGCGAACGGG